ACGUAGGGUGCAAGCGUUAAUCGGAAUUACUGGGCGUAAAGCGUGCGCAGGCGGUUAUGUAAGACAGAUGUGAAAUCCCCGGGCUCAACCUGGGAACUGCAUUUGUGACUGCAUAGCUAGAGUACGGUAGAGGGGGAUGGAAUUCCGCGUGUAGCAGUGAAAUGCGUAGAUAUGCGGAGGAACACCGAUGGCGAAGGCAAUCCCCUGGACCUGUACUGACGCUCAUGCACGAAAGCGUGGGGAGCAAACAGGAUUAGAUACCCUGGUAGUCCACGCCCUAAACUAUGUCAACUGGUUGUUGGGAAGGUUCCUUCUCAGUAACGUAGCUAGCGCGUGAAGUUGACCGCCUGGGGAGUACGGCCGCAAGGUUG
rnacentral:rRNA from 1 species